rnacentral:rRNA from 1 species
CAACCUGUAUUACGUUAGAUGUUUUCGUCUUGAAGGUGUUUGUGGGGUCUUUCACUAGGCCCCGCGUUUCUCUUCGACAACCUAAAUAGUUUUUUGUCCAAAUUUCAGAAAGUGAGCUAACGCGUGAAAUCAGCCGCCUGGGGACUACGGCCGCAAGGCUAAAACCCAAAGGAAUUGACGGGGGCUUACACAAGCGGUGGAGCAUGUGGUUUAAUUCGAAACAACGCGCAGAACCUUACCAAUCCUUGCAAUAUACAGGAAACAACUGUUACAAGUUGUCUUUUGGUAUACAGGCGCUGCAUGGCUGUCGUCAGUUCGUGGCGUGAGCUGUUGGGUUAAGUCCUAGAACGAACGCAACCCUCUUAGCAUGUGCAAUAAUGUUGCCUUGCUAAACUGCCAGUGACAUACGGGAGGAAGGAGAGGAUGACGUCAAGUCCGCAUGGCCCUUAUGGGUUGGGCUACACACGUGCUACAAUGGCGAACACAAAGGGAUGCAAGAUGGCAACAUGGAGCAAAUCCUCAACUUUCGUCGUAGUUCGGAUUGUUCUCUGCAACUCGAGAACAUGAAGUUGGAAUCGCUAGUAAUCGUAGAUCAGAAUGCUACGGUGAAUUUGUAUCUAAGCCUUGUACACACCGCCCGUCACAUAAUGGGAGCGGGACUUGCACAAAGCAUAUUAAACACCAUUUGGACAGAUUUUAACACGUUUUUUUCUGCCUUUGUUUGUUUAGUACGUUACUGUAGGUACUGUGACUGAUAUGAAGGCGUAACAAGGUAGCCGUAGGGGAACCUGCGGCUG